GCCUAUAUAUAAUACGUAGAAAUAUAUGAGAGAAUAUAUCGAAAACCCUAGUUUUUCACGUGAAAAAUCUGAGAUCCCUAAAAAAUUCCAAGUGGGAGGGUAUGAGAGAUAUGGUGAUUCCGAGUAAGCGACCCCGGGCUCCAAGCUUUUCGGAUAAGCAUCGGGAGGAGACUCAACCUGCCACCACCAUUGGUUCCGGUUGGUUCCAGGAGAAAGGGAAACUAAAAACGUUUCUUGAGCUAUGUGGUUUCUGCAAGAAAAAGCUACGUCACGACGAGAACGUUUUCAUGUACGGCUACUUUGGGGCAUUCUGUUCAGAAGCAUGUAGAGCUAAACAGAUGGCAUGCGAUAUCUUUAUUGAAAAAUCGAGAGAGAUUAUAAAAGCAAAGAAGGGAAGAACAUGUGCAGGAAUCAAACCAAAAGAAGAUGAACCAUUAGGCAAUCAAGAGAGGAUCUCAUCACCACCCAAAUUUUAUAUAUGAUUGAUGAUGUGAUUAGGGGGUUGUUGUGUAUAUAUACUUGUGCAAAAAGCCAUUUUUCAUUAUUUCAGGGGAAAUGGCUUUUUACCAUAUCUAUCAAGUUGACACCGAUCGACAAUUAUUUGUUUUGUCGAUCUACUCAUAUGAUGUACAAAGGGGGUGGUUCAGUAGUGUAUCUCUUUAGUUUUUCUUUCUAUUUCCUAUUUUUUAAUCAAUAAAGUGUUUCCGUCUUUUGGCCCUCUCGUGAAUUGUUCAGAGCUUCUUGCUUGGUUAUAAGUUAUAUAUAAAACUAUGCACAUAGAGAAAGAAAAUUAAAGAGCCUCCUGGCCAAGAAGAGGAACAUCUUCCUUCUGAGUCUACCCAAAACUCUUGAUCGCAUUGAUAUUAAAAGAGAAAAGCUCGUGUCUAUGUCUUUGGCAAAAGGAAGCAAAAAAAAAAAAAGAAACAA